AGAUUAAGUUAUUAAGGGCGCACGGUGGAUGCCUUGGCACUAGAAGCCGAUGAAGGACGUUACUAACGACGAUAUGCUUUGGGGAGCUGUAAGUAAGCUUUGAUCCAGAGAUUUCCGAAUGGGGAAACCCAGCAUGAGUUAUGUCAUGUUAUCGAUAUGUGAAUACAUAGCAUAUCAGAAGGCACACCCGGAGAACUGAAACAUCUUAGUACCCGGAGGAAGAGAAAGCAAAUUCGAUUCCCUUAGUAGCGGCGAGCGAACCGGGAAAAGCCCAAACCAACAAGCUUGCUUGUUGGGGUUGUAGGACACUCUAUACGG
rnacentral:rRNA from 1 species